AGGCGAUGACUUGGUUACGCUUGGCUAUCAGAAGCACAGCUGCGAGAGGGUCUAAAAGAGGAAGACAAACAAACAAAAAAAAGAGCAGCAUGUGUCUUGGAGUCGUUCAGCAGCUGGAAACCCGGCAGACAUUUGCACUCGGCCCCGAACGGUCCUUGAAUGCAGAUGUCGCUGCAGCCGCCGUUGUUCAAAAAUGGAUGGCCGGACAGAUGAUGCAUUUCAAACGGCAGCAAAGCAAAACUCACUGCAGAGAGGCGACUCAUCAGCUCCAUUGGGGCAGUCC